UCCAAAGCCGUCUGUCAAGAUACUUGAUCAAACAAAGGAUGGGAUGCAGCUGCAGUGUGAAGUUAGAGGAGCUUUUCCAAAACCUGAAUUACACUGGCAGGACGGAGCUGGAAACAAACUUCCUGCUGAAGAACCACAGGAGUCAGAAAGAGGAGGACACUAUGACAUCAUCCUCCAAACUACUGUGACCAAGACCGACCGCUAUCGCUGUGUUGCUACACAGAAGGAAAUCAACCAUCACACUGAUGCUGAGAUAUACGUGCCUGUCCCUGGUUCUGCCAGUGGACUGGUUGCUGGUUCAGUUCUCAAACUCUUUUUGUUGAUGGUGUUCUUGGUGUUACUGUUCUAGCUGUGCUCGUAAAAAAGGGUUUUAUGAAAGGCAGACAUAUUGUGAUUCAACAAACCAGUCAACAUAAUCAACUUGAGACUUUCCUGCUCAACAACGUGCCUUGAACUUUGUUGCUGAAGUGUGUGUGCUCUUGUAUCUUUUGAUGUUUGUGAGGAUCAGUUUGAGUUUUAGACAAAACAGUGAAAACAUUUU